rnacentral:lncRNA from 10 species
GGAGAGUGCAUCCCAGAAGCUGCAUGCCUGAGCUCAGAGGCAAUCGUCACCUGCACAUUAGGAAGGCACCUGAGGUGAGAGCAGAGGGAAGAAGGCCUCGAUGGCAGACCCAGAGAAAUCGCUGUAUUUGCUUCACAGUUAGAGGAAGGAAUCAUGCAGCUCUGAGGCGUAGUCUAAAUGUUUGACCCCUUUGCAUCACCCCUUCCGGAAGCUUCUACCUUAUGGUGGACUUCAGGUGGAGGGGUCCCUGUGAAUGUCUGGGUUUGUAGCAGUGCUUGAUGUGCCUGGGCACUGAGGGGACACGGCAGCCCUCAGGGAGGGACUGUUCAAAGACUGAUGCCCCCAGCACAACCCUGGGAAGGAACAGGAAGCGUCAUCAAGCCAGGGUACUCCGCAGAAGAGGUCAGAGAACGUGCCCUCGGGUGGAGACAGGGUCCUGCCAGGGAGAUGAAAGGGUCCCCGCGGGAAGAAAGGGGAGCAAAGGAUGGAGUUGCAGGGCCCAGAUGCCCUCAGGCUGGGAGGAGCUGAGUCACAAACAGCUGUCCACAGAGUGGCCAGCUGCAUGGAGACACAGUGGACAUCCAUCACCAAUCUGGGAAAGGACAAGAAGGAUCGGUUGCCCCUGGUAAUGGGAUUCAAGCCUGGGAUGUGGGUUGGGCUGAAAUGAUCUCACACGCCCACCAGCGCUAGAGCCUGAGAUGCCCCGGGGUUGAUUUUGGUCACAAAAGCUCUGCUUACUCCUGACGCAACCGCAUCCUGCCGCCAGCAAAGGCCACGUUUGCACCACGGGAGCUGGAAGCCCCGGCAGCCUGGGCAGUGGGAGGGGCAGAGAGCGGGCUAAGGAAGAAGCAGGGUGGAGCCCGGAGCCCACACCCGACAGACUCAGAGGGGACUGCUGGGGGAGACAGCACUGUCAGUCACGCGUCCUGGUGCCAGCCUCUCCAUGGAAACGGGAGGAGAGAAGGGCAAACACAGAUGGGAGCACCUGCUAAGAAAAGGGUUUGCAAAUGCCACAGAGAUUUGCAGGCCUUCUGAACUCUACCCACAAACUCUCAAGAGAACCCACCCGCUGCAGCCUGUGGCUCCCAACUGUCCUGCCUACGCCCAACAGGGAACUGGGGAUCCGUAUUCCAGGGAACCCUCUGGAAACGUCACACUCAGUUAGCAGAUUCUUGAGGGCGGUAACUAUAGUUUUCAGAUCUUUGUGUCCUCUGUACCUGGACCAGGUAGAGACUUGAUAAAUAUCUGUAGUUGUUAAAUAAAUGAAAUGUUUAUCUUUGCUGAUCUCUUAAAAAUAAAUCAGUUUUACCUACUUGCCAUGCAACUCACACUUCCAAGUAAUUUGCUUAAAAUACUUUAUUAUAUUAAUAUUAAGGAUUUAUGUAAUAAUUCAGAUGUAUUAAGGGAUAUGUAAGUUCACUAUUUACACAGCAUACAUCAUGGAAGACAUUAACCUGAAACAUUACAGUUGACUGAACCUAAUUACAUAAGCCGCUGUGAAUGCAAAGUACCCCCUAAUUUUAUUUUACAAUGCAUAUUAAACUCAUUCCUCCAAAUACAAUGGUUCCAUAUUGUAGCUUGAAAUGUAAACCAGUCCAAUGUUUAAUUUUGCUUUUAAGAUUAAGUAGCACGUGUGUAAUUUAAAAGUGACUUGAAACAGCAAGCAGUGUCACUGGGCUUACAAUUAAUGAGGUGUUGUCAAUUGCAAACAAAUUGAAUACAUAAAGCUGUUAACUACAACCUCUGUACUUAACAGACAUUCGCUUUCCGUAGCUACACAGCUAAUCUUUGUUUUCCUGUGUGAAAGGCAACUGACCAUGGCCUUCGUGUCUGACAUGUUGUCAGUGUUUUGUUCAGCUACAAAUAUUGGGCUGAAUGAAGAUUGAUAUAAAAAUGAAUGCUAUGAUGUUUUUCUAAGUGAAUUCAUCAAUGAGGCCUCAUCUACCAGUGUGCUUUCCAAGAUGUUAUUUGGAAGGUAGAUAUAAAUUUCCAAGUAAACACCUCCAAGUUUGUACCCACAGUACGAUGUUUGCUGUUCACUCAAUCAGCGUUGUAGAUGAGUGCAGGAUUCCAGAUAAGCCUAUGAGUCUAACCCAGCACAGCUAAUCUGUCCUCCAUCCAGGAGACAUGGGUCUAGGUGCGUGGAAUUAAGCCAUCAAAGCUAUGCAAAAGGGGAAAUGAACUGGCACUGAGCACUUCCAAAAGAAGGAAGGAUACAUCAAUUCAACCGAUGGUCCCUGUACAUUUGAAAACAGUAAAAGAAUUACAUAUCUG